rnacentral:rRNA from 1 species
UUGUCGCGACAGUAAUCCAACUCAGUACGAGAGGAACCGUUGGUUCAGAUAAUUGGUUCAUGGGGUUGCCUGAACAGGCAGUGCCCCGAAGCUACCAUCUGUAGGAUUAUGACUGAACGCCUCUAAGUCAGAAUCCAUGCUGAAAAGCGACGAUAUUAACCUUACCCGAUAUGAAAAGAGUAAGAAUAG